CCCACUAGGCAAAGGAUUGGUAGAGCAUGAGACUCUUAAUUUCAAGGUCAUGGGUUCAAGCCCCAUGCAUUGCAGAGGGU